rnacentral:misc_RNA from 1 species
GAUGAAGAACGUAGCGAAAUGCGAUAAGUAGUGUGAAUUGCAGAAUUCAGUGAAUCAUCGAAUCUUUGAACGCACAUUGCGCCCUCUGGUAUUCCGGGGGGCAUGCCUGUUCGAGCGUCAUUAUAACCACUCAAGCUCUCGCUUGGUAUUGGGGUUCGCGGUUUCGCGGCCCCUAAAAUCAGUGGCGGUGCCUGUCGGCUCUACGCGUAGUAAUACUUCUCGCGAUUGAGUUCGAUAGGUCUACUUGCCAGUAACCCCCAAUUUUUACCGGUUGACCUCGGAUCAGGUAGGGGUACCCGCUGAACUUAAGCAUAUCAAUAAGCGGAGGA